AACGUAGGACACAAGCGUUAUCCGGAAUUACUGGGCGUAAAGGGCGCGCAGGCGGCUCUGAAAGUCAGAUGUGAAAGCCCCGGGCUUAACCUGGGAAUUGCAUUUGAUACUCUGGAGCUUGAGUACGGGAGAGGAGAGUGGAAUUCCCAGUGUAGAGGUGAAAUUCGUAGAUAUUGGGAAGAACACCGGUGGCGAAGGCGGCUCUCUGGACCGUAACUGACGCUGAGGCGCGAAAGCGUGGGGAGCAAACAGG
rnacentral:rRNA from 1 species